UGGACAUAAACACCAUCUAGGAAUGCCUUGAAUAGAGGGGAUUAUAGGAAAUCUGGUAUCACAAAAGGUUAUUAGCUAGCCCAAUAACGUCUUCAUCCACUAGAUGUACUCUAACACCCUCUCGUGUGAAUACAAUGCCCUCAAUAUCAUAGAAAUGUCAUUUGAGGUUUAAAAGGUGAUCUAUUGUUUUGAAUUCUUUAUAUUCCAAGUUUUUAGCAACUGUAUGGUGGAAAAAAGUUGCCUUACAACCUUAACCUAUGUUUGGACAGUUCACUCAUGCAAUUUAGCUAAAUUUUCCAUAGUCUUUAUUUUAGUUUGAGAAAUGAUGUGUCAUAUUGAUGUGUGGUGUUUUACUUGAGUGGACAUAAACACCAUCUAGGUAUCCCUCGAAAAGAGGGGAUUAUAGGAAACCAGGUACCACAAAAGAUCAUUAGCUAGCCCAAUGACGUCUUCAUUAACUUGUUAUACUCUAAUACCCUCUCGUCCGAAUACAAUGCCCUUGACAUUAGGGAAACGUCAUUUGUGGUUCAAAAGGUGAUUUGUUGUAUUGAAUUCUUUAUAUUCCAACUUUUUAUCAACUGUAUGGUGGAAAAAGGUGCCUCACAACCUUAACCUAUGUUUGGACAGUUCUCUCACUCAAUUUGGCUAAAUUUUCCAUGGUAUUUAUUUUAUUUUGAGAAACGAUAUGGCAAAUUGAUGUGUGGUGUUUUACUUGGGUGGACAUAAACACCGUUUACGUAUGCCUUGAAUAGAGGGGAUUAUAGGAAACCUGUUAUCACAAAAGGUCAUUAGCUAGCCCACUAACAUCUUCAUGCACCAGUUGUACUCUAAUACCCUCUCGUGCGAAUACAAUGCCCUCAAUAUCAUAGAAACAUUAUUUUUAGUUUCAAAGGUGAUCUAUUGUUUUGAAUUCUUUAUAUUCCAAUUUCUUAGCAACUGUAAGGUGGAAAAAAGGUGUCUUACAACCUUAACCUUUGUUUGGACAGAUCUCUUACGCAAUUUGGCUAAAUUUGCUAUGGUCUUUAUUAUAUUUUGAGAAACAAUGUGGCAUAAUGAUGUGUGGUGUUUUACAUGAAUGGACAUAAACACCAUCAAGGUAUGCCUUCAAUAGAGGGGAUUAUGGGAAACCUGGUAUCACAAAAUGUCAUUAGCUAGCCCAAUAAUGUCUUCAUCCACUGGUUGUACUCUAAUACCCUCUCGUGCGCAUACAAUGCCCUUGACAUUAGGGAAACAUCAUUUUUAGUUUAAAAGGUGAACUAUUGCUUUGAAUUCUUUACAUUUCUAAUUUUUAGUAAUUGUAUGAUGGAAAAAAGGUGCCUUAAAGCCUUAACUUUUGUUUGGACAGUUCUCUCACGAAAUUUGGCUAAAUUUCCCAUGGUCUUUAUUUUAUUUUUAGAAACAAUGUGGAAUAAUGAUGUGCGAUGUUUUACUUGAGUGGACAUACACACCAUCUAGGUAUGCCUUGAAUAGAGGGGAUUAUAGGAAACCUGGUAUCACAAAAGGUCAUUAGCUAGCCAAAAACGUCUUCAUCCACUAGUUGUUCUCUAAUACCCACUCGUGUGAAUACAAUGCUCGCAAUAUCAUAGAAACGUCAUUUGACGUUUCAAAGGUGGUCUAUUGUUUUGAAUUCUUUAUAUUUCAACCUUUUAGCAAAUGUAUGGUGAAAAAAACGUGCCAUACAACCAUAACCUAUGUUUGGACAAAUCUCUCAUGCAAUUUGGCUAAAUUUCCCAUGGUCUUUAUUUUUUUUUUGAGAAAUGAUGUGGCAUAAUGAUGUGCGGUGUUUUACUUGAGUGGACAUAAACACCAUCUUGGUAUGCCUUGAAUAGAUGGGAUUAUAGGGAACCUGGUAUCACAAAAGCUCAGUAGCUAGCCCAAUAACGCCGUCAUCCACUAGUUGUACUCUAAUACCUUCUCGUGUGAAUACAAUGCCUUCAAUAUCAUAGAAACAUCAUUUGAGGUUUAAAAGGUGAUCUAUUGUUUUGAAUUCUUUAUAUUCCAACUUUUUAGCAACUAAUUGGUGGAAAAAGGUGCCUUACAACCAUAACCUAUGUUUGGACAGUUCACUCAUGCAAUUUGGCUAAAUUUUCCAUGGUCUUUAUUUUAUUUUGAGAAACGAUGUGGCAUAUUGAUGUGUGGUGUUUUUCUUGAGUGGACAUAAACAC
rnacentral:lncRNA from 1 species